GACGAACGCUGGCGGCGUGCCUAACACAUGCAAGUCGAACGGGGCAGCAAUGCCCAGUGGCGAACGGGUGCGUAACACGUGAGGAACUUGUCCAUCGGCGGGGGAUAGCCGGCCCAACGGCCGGGUAAUACCGCGUACGUCGGCGAGACCGCAUGGUCUUGCCGGGAAAGCAGCAAUGCACCGAUGGAGAGCCUCGCGGCCUAUCAGCUAGUUGGUGAGGUAAUGGCUCACCAAGGCGACGACGGGUAGCUGGUCUGAGAGGAUGAUCAGCCACAUUGGGACUGAGACACGGCCCAGACUCCUACGGGAGGCAGCAGUGGGGAAUAUUGCGCAAUGGGCGAAAGCCUGACGUAGCGACGCCGCGUGUGGGAUGACGGCCUCGGUUGUAA
rnacentral:rRNA from 1 species